UUGAUCUCAAAUCAGGUAGGACUACCCGCUGAACUUAAGCAUAUCAAUAAGCGGAGGAAAAGAAACUAACAAGGAUUCCCCUAGUAACUGCGAGUGAAGCGGGAAAAGCUCAAAUUUAAAAUCUGACAAGUCUUUUGACUGUCCGAGUUGUAAUCUAGAGAAGUGCUUUCCGCGUUGGACUGUGUACAAGUCUCUUGGAACAGAGCUUCAUAGAGGGUGAGAAUCCCGUCUUUGACACAGACUACCAAUGCUUUUGUGAUGUGCUCUCAAAGAGUCGAGUUGUUUGGGAAUGCAGCUCAAAAUGGGUGGUAAAUUCCAUCUAAAGCUAAAUAUUGGCGAGAGACCGAUAGCGAACAAGUACCGUGAGGGAAAGAUGAAAAGAAC
rnacentral:rRNA from 1 species